UACGGGGGGAGCAAGCGUUGUUCGGAUUUACUGGGCGUAAAGGGCGCGUAGGCGGCCAGCGCAAGUCAGUUGUGAAAUCUCCGGGCUUAACUCGGAACGGUCAACUGAUACUGCGCGGCUAGAGUGCAGAAGGGGCAACUGGAAUUCUCGGUGUAGCGGUGAAAUGCGUAGAUAUCGAGAGGAACACCUGCGGCGAAGGCGGGUUGCUGGGCUGACACUGACGCUGAGGCGCGAAAGCCAGGGGAGCGAACGGG
rnacentral:rRNA from 1 species